CAACUUUUGACAACGGAUCUCUUGGUUCUCCCAUCGAUGAAGAACGCAGCGAAAUGCGAUAAGUAAUGUGAAUUGCAGAAUUCAGUGAAUCAUCGAAUCUUUGAACGCACCUUGCGCUCCUUGGUAUUCCUUGGAGCAUGCCUGUUUGAGUGUCUUGA
rnacentral:rRNA from 2 species